UCACCCCUCAAGCCCCCGGCUUGGUGUUGGAUGGUUUGGUGAUGGAGCCCUUCGGGCCCCGGUCACCCCUCCCAAAGACAAUGACGGCGGCCUCGUUGGACCCCCGGUACACUGAGUUCCUUACCGAACACGUACCGGAGCAAGGGCCCGCGGAGCACGGUCUGCCUCCCCUCAGGGAGAACUUUUUUCUCAA
rnacentral:misc_RNA from 1 species